AUAAUGCGUUCAAGUCCAUCUUGAAUGGGGCCAUUUUACCCAUAGAGGGUGCCAGGCCCGUACCAACUGCUACCAGUAUAAGAAGGCUAUUCCAAAGAGUCGUGUUGCUUGAUAGUGCAGCACUAAGUGGGUGGUAAACUCCAUCUAAGGCUAAAUACCGGCACGAGACCGAUAGUCGACAAGUACCUUAAGGGAAAGUUGAAAAGAACUUUGAAGAGAG
rnacentral:rRNA from 1 species